rnacentral:tRNA from 1 species
GGGCUGGGGCUCAGUGGUAGAGCCCUUGCCUGGCAUGUGUGAGGCACUGGGUUCAAUUCUCAGCACCACA